GGGGGGGGGGGGGGGGGGGGGGGGGGGGGGGGGGUGGGGGGGGGGGGGAGUGGGGGCGGGGUGGGAGGGGGGGCGUGUGGCGGACGGGGGAGGAGGACGUAGGCGUCUCCGGUUUUGGGGGGGGUAGCGGUGGGGAAGGGACGAGGAUACGGUAGUCGUACUGCGGGGGUGAGCGUGGGAUCGUGGGACUUUGCGCGAUUGACUAGGCCGCUGUCGGAUUAGCUAGUUUGCGGGGUAAAGGCACACCAAGGCGACGAUCCGUAGCUGGUCUGAGAGGAUGAUCAGCCAAACUGGAACGGAGACACGGUCCAGACUCCUACGGGAGGCAGCAGUGGGGAAUAUUGGACAAUGGGCGCAAGCCUGAUCCAGCCAUACCGCGUGGGUGAAGAAGGCCUUCGGGUUGUAAAGCCCUUUUGUUGGGAAAGAAAAGCAGCAGGUUAAUACCCCGCUGUUCUGACGGUACCCAAAGAAUAAGCACCGGCUAACUUCGUG
rnacentral:rRNA from 1 species